rnacentral:rRNA from 1 species
GACGAACGCUGGCGGCGUGCUUAACACAUGCAAGUCGAACGGAAAGGCCCGGCUUUUGUGGGGUGCUCGAUUGGCGAGCGGGUGAGUAACACGUGAGUAACCUCUCCUUGACUGUGGGAUAACUCCAGGAAACUGGGGCGAAUACCGGAGAGGAUCUCUUGCUGCGCGUGGGGGGAUGGAAAGUGUCGGUGGUGGGGGAUGGACUCGCUGGUUAUCAGCUGGUUUGGCGGGUAGUUGCUGACAAAGGGUUCGACGGGUAGCCGGCCUUAGAGGGUGACCGGCCACAUUGGGCCUGCGGUACGGAGCAGAAUCCUACGGGCCGCAGCAGUCGGGAAUCUUGCACAACGGCCGCAAGUCUGAUGCAAAAACGCCGCGAUCGGAAUGCCGGCCUACGGGUUAUAAACCACUUUCGACUGUGCCGAAGAGUGAGUGACGGUAAUGGGUAAAAAAGCACCGGCUAACUACGUG